GAUGAACGCUGACAGAAUGCUUAACACAUGCAAGUCAACUUGAAUUUGGGUUUUUAACUUAGAUUUGGGUGGCGGACGGGUGAGUAACGCGUAAAGAACUUGCCUCACAGCUAGGGACAACAUUUAGAAAUGAAUGCUAAUACCUGAUAUUAUGAUUUUAAGGCAUCUUAGAAUUAUGAAAGCUAUAAGCACUGUGAGAGAGCUUUGCGUCCCAUUAGCUAGUUGGAGAGGUAACAGCUCACCAAGGCGAUGAUGGGUAGCCGGCCUGAGAGGGUGAACGGCCACAAGGGGACUGAGACACGGCCCUUACUCCUACGGGAGGCAGCAGUGGGGAAUAUUGGACAAUGGACCGAGAGUCUGAUCCAGCAAUUCUGUGUGCACGAUGAAGUUUUUCGGAAUGUAAAGUGCUUUCAGUUGGGAAGAAAAAAAUGACGGUACCAACAGAAGAAGUGACGGCUAAAUACGUGCCAGCAGCCGCGGUAAUACGUAUGUCACGAGCGUUAUCCGGAUUUAUUGGGCGUAAAGCGCGUCUAGGUGGUUAUGUAAGUCUGAUGUGAAAAUGCAGGGCUCAACUCUGUAUUGCGUUGGAAACUGUAUAACUAGAGUACUGGAGAGGUGAGCGGAACUUCAAGUGUAGAGGUGAAAUUUCCUAAUAUUUGUACGAAUGCACGAUGGGAAAGACAACUUUCUGGGACAGAUUCUGAGCUUUAGCGGGGAAAAUUGGUGGCACACCAGCUUUAAUAAUCUUUGGUUGCUAGCGCGGAUUACCUCCGUUUGUGUGGUGCUUUUGAAGGCGCCCCCCCCGGCGGGGGCUCGUGGCGUUAUUUUUUUGGUUAAAAUCUACCUUUUAGAGUC
rnacentral:rRNA from 1 species